rnacentral:rRNA from 1 species
UACGGGGGGGGCAAGCGUUGUUCGGAAUUACUGGGCGUAAAGGGCGCGUAGGCGGCCCGUUAAGUCAGACGUGAAAUCCCUCGGCUCAACCGGGGAACUGCGUCUGAGACUGGGGGGCUCUGAAUCCGGGAGAGGGAUGCGGAAUUCCAGGUGUAGCGGUGAAAUGCGUAGAUAUCUGGAGGAACACCGGUGGCGAAGGCGGCAUCCUGGACCGGGAUUGACGCUGAGGCGCGAAAGCCAGGGGA